UACGGAGGGGGCGAGCGUUAUUCGGAAUUAUUGGGCGUAAAGAGCUUGUAGGCGGUUUGUCGCGUCUGCUGUGAAAAUCCGGGGCUCAACCCCGGACUUGCAGUGGGUACGGGCAGACUAGAGUGUGGUAGGGGAGACUGGAAUUCCUGGUGUAGCGGUGAAAUGCGCAGAUAUCAGGAGGAACACCGAUGGCGAAGGCAGGUCUCUGGGCCACUACUGACGCUGAGAAGCGAAAGCAUGGGGAGCGAACAGG
rnacentral:rRNA from 1 species